rnacentral:rRNA from 1 species
ACGGAAGGCAGCAGUGGGGAAUAUUGGGCAAUGGGCGCAAGCCUGACCCAGCAACGCCGCGUGAAGGAAGAAGGCUUUCGGGUUGUAAACUUCUUUUAUAUAGGACGAAACAAAUGACGGUACUAUAUGAAUAAGCCACGGCUAACUACGUGCCAGCAGCCGCGGUAAUACGUAGGUGGCAAGCGUUAUCCGGAUUUACUGGGUGUAAAGGGCGUGUAGGCGGGAAGGCAAGUCAGAUGUGAAAUCUAUGGGCUUAACCCAUAAACUGCAUUUGAAACUGUUGCCCUUGAGUAUCGGAGAGGCAGGCGGAAUUCCUAGUGUAGCGGUGAAAUGCGUAGAUAUUAGGAAGAACACCAGUGGCGAAGGCGGCCUGCUGGACGACAACUGACGCUGAGGCGCGAAAGCGUGGGGAGCAAACAGGAUUAGAUACCCUGGUA